rnacentral:sRNA from 1 species
ACAACCUGGAGGCCGGCCAGGGCGACUACGCGUGCGGCCCGCACGGCUACGGCGCCAUCCCCGCCGCGCCCCCGCCGCCGCCCUACCCCUACCUCGUCACAGGGAUACCCACCCACCAUCCCAGGGUCUACAACAUCCACAGCCGGACCGUCACCCGCUAUCCUGCCAACUCUAUCGUGGUCGUGGGAGGCUGUCCCGUCUGCAGUUGAUCGUCGAAGGUGGUGGAAGGUUUCGUUUUCCCGGAAGGGGCAUUUGGAAGUAAGUGCACCAGCAGGACAGACCUCAGUGGGAGAAGCGACGGCUGUAAGAGCUGCUUUAUCCAAAGUUGGCUUGAAACGCUCUUCCACGAGCUGGACCAGGAUGGAAACCCCGUGUUUCUUUGAGGGUUGGGGUGCUGGAGGAUUGCUUCACCUUCCUGGGCAUCUUCCUGGCCAUCAUCCUCUUCCCCUUUGGGUUCAUUUGCUGUUUUGCCUUGAGGAAGCGACGAUGCCCCAACUGUGGAGCCACCUUCGCUUAAAGGGAACACCAGGCCCGGCUUUCCUACACCCAGCUCUCUUUUUCUAAUGUAAAUGUUGUGUACAAUAGUUUUAUUUGAUUAAGCUUCAGGACUGUUUUGUAAAGCGAGGUGGGACCGAUGUGGCACACGCCAGCUGCGGUUUCCCGGAGCGUGGAGAGGCAGCGCUGCUGCUCCCGCCCGAGGCUUAUGACAACUCAAUAAAGCACUGCUUUUAUUUUUUGCAGUCUUCAAUUUGAGAAAGGUGAGAAAUAAUGUUUUCAAUAAAUGAGAUUCAUACCAUUGUUGACCUGGUGCUGCUUACU